GACGAACGCUGGCGGCGUGCCUAAUACAUGCAAGUAGAACGCUGAAGCCUGGUGCUUGCACCGAGCGGAUGAGUUGCGAACGGGUGAGUAACGCGUAGGUAACCUGCCUGGUAGCGGGGGAUAACUAUUGGAAACGAUAGCUAAUACCGCAUAAGAGUAGAUAUUGCAUGACAUUUGCUUAAAAGGUGCAAUUGCAUCACUACCAGAUGGACCUGCGUUGUAUUAGCUAGUUGGUGAGGUAACGGCUCACCAAGGCAACGAUACAUAGCCGACCUGAGAGGGUGAUCGGCCACACUGGGACUGAGACACGGCCCAGACUCCUACGGGAGGCAGCAGUAGGGAAUCUUCGGCAAUGGACGGAAGUCUGACCGAGCAACGCCGCGUGAGUGAAGAAGGUUUUCGGAUCGUAAAGCUCUGUUGUAAGAGAAGAACGAGUGUGAGAGUGGAAAGUUCACACUGUGACGGUAUCUUACCAGAAAGGGACGGCUAACUACGUGCCAGCAGCCGCGGUAGUACGUAGGUCCCGAGCGUUGUCCGGAUUUAUUGGGCGUAAAGCGAGCGCAGGCGGUUAGAUAAGUCUGAAGUUAAAGGCUGUGGCUUAACCAUAGUACGCUUUGGAAACUGUUUAACUUGAGUGCAAGAGGGGAGAGUGGAAUUCCAUGUGUAGCGGUGAAAUGCGUAGAUAUAUGGAGGAACACCGGUGGCGAAAGCGGCUCUCUGGCUUGUAACUGACGCUGAGGCUCGAAAGCGUGGGGAGCAAACAGG
rnacentral:rRNA from 1 species